GCGGUGGGGCCGGAGGGGCGU
rnacentral:miRNA from 1 species